rnacentral:rRNA from 1 species
UACGUAGGUGGCAAGCGUUGUCCGGAUUUACUGGGCGUAAAGAGCGCGCAGGCGGUCGUUCAAGUCGCGUGUGAAAGCCCCCGGCUCAACUGGGGAGGGUCACGCGAUACUGAUCGACUCGAAGGCAGGAGAGGGUAGUGGAAUUCCCGGUGUAGUGGUGAAAUGCGUAGAUAUCAGGAGGAACACCGGUGGCGAAGGCGGGCCUCUGGGCCGAUACUGACGCUGAGGAGCGAAAGCGUGGGGAGCGAACAGG